AUGGACGGGUUCACGCAGACACUAGGCUCUCAGACAAACUCUGCCAAGGGUGAAGCUUUGUGCCGGCCGUUCCUGCCUUGCCCUCUGCCUCCUCUCCCGGUCUCCGAGGAUGGUUCUGCAAGCAAGUUUUCAAAGAAGAUGAUGAAGGUUUGCCUCCCCCUGUGCCCACCCCCAGCCCGGGGCUCGCUCCGCGGGAGCGCACCGAGGGCGCGCGCUCGCCUCGGGUCCCGCCGGCGCUGCCCCAACAGCGAUACGCAACCGCUCGCCUCGGCCUCGAAACAAACCCCCCCCGAGCCGGGACUCGAACUCGCACCUCCCCGGGAGGAAGCACAUCCGUUACCGCUUCAGGUCAGCAGCACUCCUGGAAAGGGGAGGGAGAAAAGGGGGCGGAUUUGGCUGCCGGCACGCGCGUGGGAAGGGGGGAAGCCGUGCCGCCAGCCUGGCUCAGCUCGGCUCGCCGCGGCGCAGCCAUUUCGGAGCAGGCCGUGGGCGCCUGCGGUCCCGCUUGCCUCCCCGCAGCCCCCGUCGCCUUCUUCCUCUUUUGUGUCGCGCCGGGGGCCUUGGCGGGCCGUGAAGACGGCUGCGGCCGACCCGUCCCGCUCCCUGCUGCGCCGCUCCACCCCGCUCCCCGUUUUAACGCAGAAUAUUUUCAUACAUCUGCUGGGAUGGGCGCAGGGCAGAGCACCCUGCCCCGGCAGGGUGGGACCCGUCGAGCUCGGGGCGAAGCCAGGCCGAGACGGUCCAGCUGCCGCGAGGGGAGGGGAAGUUUUGCACCGUUGCCUCUUGCCGCUGAUGGAAGGAGGCCCGUUACACUCCGGCAGCGCGGGUGCCCGCGUUUCGGCAUCCCGCUUUCCUUGCGGCCUUGCCUCUUCUCUGCCCCGCGAGGUGGUUGUUGAAGGCGGCCGGGCUCCGCGCGGCGCCUCGUGCUGCUGGUGGCUCGCGAAGCCGUUUCGGGGCUCCGGGGCGGCUCCGGGUGCCGAGAAGAGGGUGCUCGGCGCCGCUUCCUGCACGGGGCCCGGCUGGCGGCGGCGGCGUUGCCUAACAGGAAACCUGCUCGGCCCAGAUGAUGCUGCAAGAAGAGCUUCGACUGCGUCGGCUUCGACCCCUCCGGCAGGGCCCUCGGCCCCGGGGUUGAGAUUUUUGAGGCCGCGCUCCGGGUCCUCGCUCGCGGCAGGGAAGCGGCGGCCGGAGGAGCCGCGUUCGCCGCUCGGCCUUGCGUCUCUCCAGGUCUCGGUCCCCCGCGAGGCUCGUGCGGGACUCGGGGACGGGGAAGGGUCGCCCGACCCCGUAGCGCCUCUCCCCAGGCCGCCGUGCGCCGCGGCCGGUUCACGGGACUGUUGGUUCGGUUGAGGCAGGCGCCGGCCGGGCCUCGGCGUCGGGUCGGGGGCAGGUGACGCGGUUGCGGUCGAUGGGCCGGACCCCCCCGCGGCUGGGUGGGGACUUCCUCGCCGGCGCCCGACAGCGGAGGCAGCCGCGCCGGGAAGGGAGCCGAGUUUCGCGGGGCUCCAGCUGGCUCGCGGGGCGGCUGCCCGCGGCACGGCCAUCUUCUCCCACCGGCGGCCGCCCCAGCGCGCCCGGAGAGAAACAACGGCUCUCCCGAAGCCGGGAAGUUCAGCACUUGCACCGAGGCUUUGCCGCUUCUCUUCCUAAACCCCCAAAGCUCCGCCGUGCCGGGACUCGCGGCUCCAUCCGUCCAUCCCGGCCGGGCGCAAGCGGCCUUUCUGCGGCCCCAAGAGCAGCAGCAUUUUCUUUUCUCCCCCUUCUUCGGGAGCGUUUCUGCACGUCCCCUCCCUCCUUGAGACGUGCGGAGAAGCGUUGGCCCGCGGCGCCCGGCACCCAGCGUGGGAAAGGUGGGGGCCGAGGGCUGACUAGGAACGGGAGCGAAACCCCGCGGCGACCGAAAGUUUCGCUGUCUGCGCCUCCCGCGAGGGCAAAAGUGCAGCGGGAGCCGCGCUGCGAAGGCGCCGCGGCGCCCUGGGAGCGGCUCCGAAAGGCCAGCUCGGAGCGAAGGCCGGCUCCGAACCCCCUUUUCCUCCCCCCCCGCGGCGAACGGAAACCCGGCGGUGCCGGCGCGGUGGGGGGAGAUGCGAGGAAGAGGAAGGACCGGGCGCAGCUGCGCCAGCCCCCCGUCGCCCGCUCCCCCAGCCGGACCAAGCCCCCCCCCUUCCCGCGCGGCCCCGGAAAGUCCCAUGGCUUUUUUUUUUUGGUCUUUUUUUGUUUUGUUUUGAAAUACACUUAUUUUGCUAUGGGGGAAGGGAAGGAGGGGAGGCGGGAGGGGGCCGGGGCGCGCGUUCCCCAGCGGGUCACCCAGCAUCACUUUUAAACUGUAGUUUUUAUAAGCUGUUAUAAACUUGUAUCUUUUUACCAGUAGCGUGGUGUCCGGUCCUUCGUGGCGUUUAGGGUAUUUAAAUAAAAGUCAUCGUUUUUCUUUUCUAACCUCUUUU
ensembl:lncRNA